rnacentral:lncRNA from 1 species
GGUGACCUGUUGAAACAUUGCAUCCAAGCUUGGCGACUAACCUCUUGAGGAAUGAAAGAGGUUUCAGAGGAACAGGACAAACUCUGGGAUAGGCUUUGUGGCCAAGUGAUCGGCACAUCGUAAUCAAUACAUGUUUGUUCAUGAAAAAUGACCGAAAAGGGGAGGUGUUUGAAAAGACAGGAGGAGGAGGAGGAGGAGGAAGGAGCUGCGUGCUGGUUGCCGGUGUCUUCAAUCAUGGUUUAGCUGUACUUGCUACACGUUACAGGCACAUCGCCCGCCUGCUUUUGUGCUGGGAUUGAGUUUACCUUAAAGCAGGGUGGGAUUUAGGCCUAAGAUGGACUUGGUCUAACCCCCCAGAGAAGAAUCUGUCAGCUCCAGGCUCUCUGAGCUCUUACUUGCCUGUUGCGCAAAGCUGGGUCUAACAUCCCUAGACACUCAAUAAGCAUCUGUAGGAUAACUGAGAACAGAGCCAUCUUCGGGUGUUCAGCUGCCCAAAUGCACUGAAAUCCUCAUUCAAUGUCGUAAAAGUGUUAUUGGUUCUGGGAAGCCAGGUGGCAGAAUUGUAGUGCAGAUCGUGCCUGGGAGAUAAUGAAGCGGCGCUGACCCGGGCUGUGGAGGCCAGAGAGGCCUGCCACGGCGUCUGGAAGAACAUGGCACUUAGAAGAGGGCACAGGAGGACAAGCCAGCCACCACGGCGCGAGAAGAAGCCGCCGGAAAGAUGGAUAAGUGGAGUCUCAGAGGGAGAAGUGACACAGCCCAAAUCACACAGCUGGGCAGCGACCGAGCCGAAGACCUUGGGCACCACCUUUCCUCCUGCAGGUCACCCUCCCUAACCACCUUUGGCUCUGCAACAAUCCAGAAGAUUUCACGAGGUCUCUUUGCUGCACUUCCGGAAGGAGGUGGUGGGAUCAUGACGGGCCACUAUCCUUCAGGUCACUGCCCAACCUGUUCAAUAUUCUCUUGUCAAUUUGGUGCCAGUUUGUGACAAUAAUCCCUCAAGGGCCAUUCCUGAUACAGCAAGACAGGCAUUUUCAGACGUGGCCCUAUUUCACCUUCUUGAUCUGUUUUCUCGCCCUCCUCCUUGUCCCACCCCUGCUGUUCUCUUUAAUCCCCUGAGUGCAUUAUUCGUAAUAGUGAAAUGUCCUAGAGGGCUUACCAUGUGCUGGGCAUCAUGCCGAGGAGUUGCUGUGACAUCAUUUCAUUUAAUUUUUUCUAAAUAUCAUAUUAGUAGAUGCUAUUAUACCCAUUUGACAGAGGAAGUAACUGAGAUUUGGAAAGGCUAGAUGACUUGCCCAAGGUCACCCCACAGCAGAUGGGAAGACCUAGGGCUUGAACCCAGGCAGAUCCCAUCGCCUUUGCCGCGACCCGAAACUUCAGACACUGCAAACCCACGGCCUGUGAGUCAAAUUUGGCUUACGGGUAUAUUUCGUUUGGCUCACAUCGUACUUAAAAAAAAAAAAAAAAAAAAAAA